AUGAACGCUGGCGGCGUGCCUCAUACAUGCAAGUCGAGCGAACAGACGAGGAGCUUGCUCCUCUGACGUUAGCGGCGGACGGGUGAGUAACACGUGGAUAACCUACCUAUAAGACUGGGAUAACUUCGGGAAACCGGAGCUAAUACCGGAUAAUAUAUUGAACCGCAUGGUUCAAUAGCGAAAGACGGUUUUGCUGUCACUUAUAGAUGGAUCCGCGCCGCAUUAGCUAGUUGGUAAGGUAACGGCUUACCAAGGCAACGAUGCGUAGCCGACCUGAGAGGGUGAUCGGCCACACUGGAACUGAGACACGGUCCAGACUCCUACGGGAGGCAGCAGUAGGGAAUCUUCCGCAAUGGGCGAAAGCCUGACGGAGCAACGCCGCGUGAGUGAUGAAGGUCUUCGGAUCGUAAAACUCUGUUAUUAGGGAAGAACAAAUGUGUAAGUAACUAUGCACGUCUUGACGGUACCUAAUCAGAAAGCCACGGCUAACUACGUG
rnacentral:rRNA from 1 species